UUUCACUCAACUGUGUCCGUUAAUCAAGAACGAAAGUUAGGGGAUCGAAGACGAUCAGAUACCGUCGUAGUCCUAACUAUAAACGAUGUCAACCAAGGAUUGGAUGAAAUUCAGAUGUACAAAGAUGAAGAAGCAUUGUUUCUUAAUCUGAGUAUAUCAAUAUUACCUUGUUCAGAACUUAAAGAGAAAUCUUGAGUUUAUGGACUUCAGGGGGAGUAUGGUCACAAGGCUGAAACUUAAAGGAAUUGACGGAAGGGCACACCAGGAGUGGAGCCUGCGGCUUAAUUUGACUCAACACGGGAAAACUUACCAAGACCGAACAGUAGAAGGAAUGACAGAUUAAGAGUUCUUUCAUGAUUUAUUGGGUAGUGGUGCAUGGCCGUUCUUAGUUGGUGGAGUGAUUUGUCAGGUUAAUUCCGGUAACGAACGAGACUGAAACCUAUUAAUUAGUUUUCUGCCUAUAAGACAGAAAUGUUCGCAAGAACAGGUGCGUAAGUACCACUUCUUAAAGGGACACAUUUCAAUUGUCCUAUUUUAAUUGUAGUUAUCUAAUUUCGGUUAGAGCUCUUUUAACGUGGGAAAAAGAAAAAGGAAGCAUUCAGCAAU
rnacentral:rRNA from 1 species